rnacentral:rRNA from 1 species
UACGUAGGGGGCAAGCGUUUGUCCGGAUUAUUUGGGCGUAAAGAGCGUGUAGGCGGCUUUUACAGGUCCGUUGUUGAAAACUCGAGGCUCAACCUCGAGACGCCGGUGGAACCGUAAGGCUAGAGUCCGGAAGAGGAGAGUGGAAUUCCUGGUGUAGCGGUGAAAUGCGCAGAUAUCAGGAGGAACACCCCGUGGCGAAAAGCGGCUCUCUGGGACGG